AUUGUUGACAUCUGCAACUAUCCGAUCCUGAUCGAAUCCCCCAAAGCAUCAUCCAAAUGUGCUUUGGCAAUCUCCUCUCGAUCCUCCCCUGCUGUUUUUCAAAUGGAACGUCGAUGGCUCCUCUCUGGGUAAGCCUGGUAGAAGUGCUGUAGGUGGUGUUUUAAGGGAUUCAAGAAGCAGCUUCAUUUGUAUCUUUUCUUGCCCCACGG
rnacentral:misc_RNA from 1 species